CCUACGGGAGGCAGCAGUGAGGAAUAUUGGUCAAUGGGCGGGAGACUGAACCAGCCAAGCCGCGUGAGGGAUGAAGGUACAGAGUAUCGUAAACCUCUUUUGUCAGGGAACAAAGGCGGGGACGUGUCCCCGGAUGAGUGUACCUGAAGAAAAAGCAUCGGCUAACUCCGUGCCAGCAGCCGCGGUAAUACGGAGGAUGCGAGCGUUAUCCGGUUUUAUUGGGUUUAAAGGGUGCGCAGGCGGUCUGUUAAGUCAGCGGUCAAAGCCCGGGGCUCAACCCCGGCCCGCCGUUGAAACUGGCAGUCUAGAGUUGGAGAGAGGUAUGCGGAAUGCGCGGUGUAGCGGUGAAAUGCAUAGAUAUCGCGCAGAACUCCGAUUGCGAAGGCAGCAUGCCGGCUCCACACUGACGCUGAGGCACGAAAGCGUGGGUAUCGAACAGGAUUAGAUACCCCUGUAGUC
rnacentral:rRNA from 1 species